GUGGGGAAUAUUGCACAAUGGGCGCAAGCCUGAUGCAGCAACGCCGCGUGAGGGACGACGGCCUUCGGGUUGUAAACCUCUUUUAGCAGGGAAGAAGCGAGAGUGACGGUACCUGCAGAAAAAGCACCGGCUAACUACGUGCCAGCAGCCGCGGUAAUACGUAGGGUGCAAGCGUUGUCCGGAAUUAUUGGGCGUAAAGAGCUCGUAGGCGGUCUGUCGCGUCUGCUGUGAAAACCCGAGGCUCAACCUCGGGCUUGCAGUGGGUACGGGCAGACUAGAGUGCGGUAGGGGAGAUUGGAAUUCCUGGUGUAGCGGUGGAAUGCGCAGAUAUCAGGAGGAACACCGAUGGCGAAGGCAGAUCUCUGGGCCGUAACUGACGCUGAGGAGCGAAAGCGUGGGGAGCAAACAGGCUUAGAUACCCCAGUAGUCC
rnacentral:rRNA from 1 species